CCUACGGGCGGCAGCAGUGGGGAAUAUUGGACAAUGGGGGCAACCCUGAUCCAGCCAUGCCGCGUGUGUGAAGAAGGCCCUCGGGUUGUAAAGCACUUUCAGUGAUGAAGAACGCCUGGUGGUUAAUACCCAUCAGGAAAGACAUCACUCACAGCAGAAGCACCGGCUAACUCCGUGCCAGCAGCCGCGGUAAUACGGAGGGUGCGAGCGUUAAUCGGAAUUACUGGGCGUAAAGCGCGCGUAGGUGGCUUGAUAAGCCGGUUGUGAAAGCCCCGGGCUCAACCUGGGAACGGCAUCCGGAACUGUCAAGCUAGAGUGCAGGAGAGGAAGGUAGAAUUCCCGGUGUAGCGGUGAAAUGCGUAGAGAUCGGGAGGAAUACCAGUGGCGAAGGCGGCCUUCUGGACUGACACUGACACUGAGGUGCGAAAGCGUGGGUAGCAAACAGGAUUAGAUACCCCUGUAGUC
rnacentral:rRNA from 1 species